UGGGCUGUAAGAUUUAUCUGUUACUUCUUAACAUAUAAUUUGUACACCUGUCUAGGAUUUAACUUGGAAAAGAUUUUUCAAAACUUGGUACGAUUAUAUAAAAUGUGUGCUUAUGACCAUAGCUGGUAGGCAUGUGAGAUGGUAAGGCAUUUCCGCAGAGCAGAGGUUCAUAAAAGCUUUAUCAUGCAUCAGAGCUAUCCGGAAGGCUUUUUAAAACACAGAUUGCUCAGCUGGGCGCAGUAGGGUGCGCCUGUAGUCCUAGCUACUUGGGAGGCUGAGGCAGAAGGAUCUUUUGAGCCCUGGAGUUUGAGGCUACAGCAUGCUAUGAUUGUGCCUGUGAAUAGCCACUGCACUCCAGCCUGGGCGGCCUAGCAAGACCCUGUCUCUAAAACAAUAACAUCAACUAAAACAAAAACCACGCAGAUUGCUGGACCCCAACCUAGAGUUUCUGAUCCAGUAGUAUUGGGGUGGGGCCUGAGAAUUUGCAUUUCUGACAAGUCCCCAGAUGAUGUUGAUCCUUAUUCUCCUGGCCCAUAGACCACUUAAUUAAAGCCAGCAAAGUAGUCAUCAACGUUGACCCAGGAUAUAAGCUGAAGAUGAUGAACAGCCUUGAGGCAGUAAGGGAGGCCUGCCCUCCAACAUCAGGAAGCCAAGUGAAGGCGUGACUCACCAGGGCAGGGUGGGGUUCCUGCGUGUGAGAAACCAGAAUUGAGAGCUGCACCAGCUGUGUGGCCCCAGGUUUCUCAGGGUGAGGAGAGGCAGCCCAGGGGAAAGGCACUCGGGACCACACCCCAACUCACCUACCCUGUAUAAUAAAAGAAGGCGUGCAAGAAGAUCUAUAUGCAGUGACGUGCAAAGGUAUCAAGAACAAGUUGCGAAACCCCAUGGUAUGAUUUCAUCUGAUUAAAAGAAAAAAGGUGGUAGGUGCUGAAUGGUUGAAUAAAUGAACAGUCCUAAAAUGGAUAUAUUUUGGGGCAACAGUAAGUUGCCCCCAGGAAGAAAAUCACUUUUGGAAAAUAAAACUGGCAAGAAUCUAUGCUAAAUGGAUGAGACCAGCCACAGAAGCACUUCAUCCUAAAAGAUGGGCUAGGUUGGGAUCCGGGGGGAGAGUAGCUUUCCUAGCUCUCAGCAGCUCAACUCCACCGAAUUAGUGAACGAUGGACAUGUCCCCAAGAGGACUCUAAACCCACAGUCCCCAACAUGGUGUUCUGCAGCAUGCCACAGGUCAUCUUGUUCUGUCCUCUCUGAGGGCAGAUCCCUACCUCUCCUCCCUUAGGGGAGGACGAAGGUGUCCCAGCCAAGGAAGAUCCUGGUCUCCAAGGGCUGUACCCUACUGAUCCGGAGGCAAAGCAGUGAGGGCCCACCCCAAUUCCUCACCUCCCAUUCUACUCUUCGGCAGAAGCAUCUCAGUGUUGGAAAGAUAAGGAUUUCUUCCUAAAAAGGAAGGAUUACACUAUAUCAGAGUCUGAAGAUACAGUUUUCAUUUGCAACGCAAGGGAAUUCCUUUGAAUCUCUACCUUAUGAUUUCCCUGCAAACCCACUCCGAUGGGGCUGGAGAGUGCUCUCUCACUCAGAUGAAUCUCUCAG
rnacentral:lncRNA from 10 species